UACAGAGGUCCCAAGCGUUGUUCGGAUUUACUGGGCGUAAAGGGUGCGUAGGUGGUGAGGUAAGUCUGAUGUGAAAUCUCCGAGCUCAACUCGGAAAUGGCAUUGGAAACUACCUUGCUAGAGGGUUGGAGGGGGGACUGGAAUACUUGGUGUAGCAGUGAAAUGCGUAGAUAUCAAGUGGAACACCAGUGGCGAAGGCGAGUCCCUGGACAACUCCUGACACUGAGGCACGAAAGCUAGGGGAGCAAACAGGUAGAUACCCUGGUAUC
rnacentral:rRNA from 1 species